AUUGAACGCUGGCGGCAGGCCUAACACAUGCAAGUCGAGCGGAUGAAGUGAGCUUGCUCCUGGAUUCAGCGGCGGACGGGUGAGUAAUGCCUAGGAAUCUUCCUGGUAGUGGGGGAUAACGUCCGGAAACGGGCGCUAAUACCGCAUACGUCCUGAGGGAGAAAGUGGGGGAUCUUCGGACCUCCCGCUAUCAGAUGAGCCUAGGUCGGAUUAGCUAGUUGGUGGGGUAAAGGCCUACCAAGGCGACGAUCCGUAACUGGUCUGAGAGGAUGAUCGGUCACACUGGAACUGAGACACGGUCCAGACUCCUACGGGAGGAAGCAGUGGGGAAUAUUGGACAAAGGGCGAAAGCCUGAUCCAGCCAUGCCGCGUGUGUGAAGAAGGUCUUCGGAUUGUAAAGCACUUUAAGUUGGGAGGAAGGGCAGUAAGUUAAUACCUUGCUGUUUUGACGUUACCAACAGAAUAAGCACCGGCUAACUUCGUG
rnacentral:rRNA from 1 species